rnacentral:tRNA from 1 species
GCUCGGAUGGUGAAAUUGGCAUACACACCUGACUUAGGAUCAGACGCCUAACGGCAUGAGGGUUCGAGUCCCUCUCCGAGCA